UACGUAGGGUGCGAGCGUUGUCCGGAAUUACUGGGCGUAAAGAGCUCGUAGGUGGUUUGUCGCGUUGUUCGUGAAAACCGGGGGCUUAACCCUCGGCGUGCGGGCGAUACGGGCAGACUUGAGUACUGCAGGGGAGACUGGAAUUCCUGGUGUAGCGGUGGAAUGCGCAGAUAUCAGGAGGAACACCGGUGGCGAAGGCGGGUCUCUGGGCAGUAACUGACGCUGAGGCGCGAAGGCUAGGGGAGCGAACAGG
rnacentral:rRNA from 1 species